rnacentral:rRNA from 1 species
GACGAACGCUGGCGGCGUGCCUAAUACAUGCAAGUUGAGCGCUGAAGGUUGGUACUUGUACCGACUGGAUGAGCAGCGAACGGGUGAGUAAAGCGUGGGGAAUCUGCCUUUGAGCGGGGGACAACAUUUGGAAACGAAUGCUAAUACCGCAUAAAAACUUUAAACACAAUUUUUAAGUUUGAAAGAUGCAAUUGCAUCACUCAAAGAUGAUCCCGCGUUGUAUUAGCUAGUUGGUGAGGUAAAGGCUCACCAAGGCGAUGAUACAUAGCCGACCUUUGAGGGUGAUCGGCCAAAUAGAGAGUGAAACACCGCCCAAAAUCCUGCUAGACGUCGCAAUAUGGAAUCCUCGGCAAUGGACGAAAGUCUGACCGGGCGCCGGCACGAGAGUAAAAAAGGUUUUCGCAUCGUAAAAAUCUGUUGAUAGAGAAGAACGUUGAUGAAAGUUGAAUGCUCAACAAGUGACGGUAACGACCCAGAAAGAGACGGCUAACUACGUG